rnacentral:rRNA from 1 species
UACGGGGGGGGCAAGCGUUGUUCGGAAUUACUGGGCGUAAAGGGCGCGUAGGCGGCCUACUAAGUCGGACGUGAAAUCCCUCGGCUCAACCGAGGAACUGCGUCCGAUACUGGCAGGCUGGAAUCCGGGAGAGGGAUGUGGAAUUCCAGGUGUAGCGGUGAAAUGCGUAGAUAUCUGGAGGAACACCGGUGGCGAAGGCGGCAUCCUGGACCGGUACUGACGCUGAGGAGCGAAAGCCAGGGGAGCAAACGGG